rnacentral:pre_miRNA from 1 species
AAUAAGUGCAGCCGUGAAUAUCCGUGUCCAACGUUUGACAGUCUGUCUUAUUUGAAAAAUUUGUGAAAAAAUUAAAAAUAUUUAGUCACGCAUAAAAUACUAUUCAUGUUUUAUUAUCUAAUAGCAAUAAAAAUGCUAAUCAUAAAAAAAAUUCAAAUAAGACGAACGAUCAAACGUUGAAUGUGAAUAGUGUAAAACUGCACUUAUU